GACGAACGCUGGCGGCACGCUUAACACAUGCAAGUCGAACGAGAGAAGAGAAGCUUGCUUUUCUGAUCUAGUGGCGGACGGGUGAGUAACACGUGAGCAAUCUGCCUUUCAGAGGGGGAUACCGAUUGGAAACGAUCGUUAAUACCGCAUAAUAUAAUUGAACCGCAUGAUUUGAUUAUCAAAGAUUUAUAGCUGAAAGAUGAGCUCGCGUCUGAUUAGCUAGUUGGUAAUGUAACGGCUUACCAAGGCGACGAUCAGUAGCCGAACUAAGAGGUUGAUCGGCCACAUUGGGACUGAGACACGUCCCAGUUGCCUACGGGGGGCAGCAGUGGUGAAUAUUGCACAAUGGAGGAGACUCUGAUGCAUCGAUGCCGCGUAAUGGAAGAAGGUUUUAGGAUUGUAAACCUCUGUCUUCAGGGACGAAAAAAGACGUUACCUGAGGAGGAAGCUCCGGCUAACUACGUGCCAGCCGCCGCGGUAAUAC
rnacentral:rRNA from 1 species